rnacentral:lncRNA from 1 species
ACGGAAUAUGUGCAGAAGUGAUGUAUAUGACCUCAGAGCCCAGCCUCUAAAUAUCCUGUGUCAUGCUCCACAUUCUGUCCAUUCAUCUCUCAGUUAACUAAAUAGAAGUGAUGCAAGGGAGGACUCCAAGGAAGCCCUAGGGAUCAUGAAGCUACAGAAUGGGAGAAUUGCUGUCACCACAGUUCUGGAAGAAGAAUUGUUCAGGAGAACAGCCAUUGGACUAUGGCAUGCCAAAGAAAUCUCUGUUGUGAAACCACAAUUAAAAGUUGUUCUUCCUGCCUCUGCUUCUUGACCAACCCCUGAGUGGCCCUGUAUAGUGUUCUCCCUAGGAAACUGUGAG